CACACAGUUCCGAGACGCCAGCCUCCCCGGAAACAGUAGAACCAAGGAAGACAGAAGGGAGCUGGGGAAAUGGCUCAGGAGAUGAUCAAUUCUGUCUCUAAGGAUGUUCUCUGUCUGCAUCCCACACCAGAGUGAUGAGCAUGAAGCAGAUGGCUGGCCAUGGAGACAUCCAUCCUCGGAACCCAGUGCCUGCUUCCUAAGCCAGUGUGCUGGAAAGGAUUGGAGACUGAACCAGGCCCUUGGCCACCUUCUUUGUGGCCCCAACAAAUGCAAUAUCCACUGUAGUAGCAACAACAACAGCGGCAGCACCUAACCUAAGGACUGUGUGAGACUCUGGUUCAAACCCAUCAUACAGUACGCACAAGUCCCUCACAUCAACGUCAUUCCACAGAGAUGCGUGCUAAGUGCUUCUUCCACAGCUAUCAUGGCUUGAGUUUUCUCCCAGUGUUUGCUUAGCCAAACGUCCAAGCGGUUUAUGUUUUAAUAUGAGAAGAAUCGCCUAACCUCAGAGAGGUUCACCCACAUUCCUUGUCAGUCAUUCCCCAGCCUCUGUCAUUCUCUGACCUACCUACUUUUAGAUUCCAGCCGCCCUGCUUCCUUCAAAGCAUGAUGAGACUUUCAUCUCUGGAGUCUGAGCUGAUUGCAAAUGGACUGAGCUGGCCUCUGGGUUUGAAAGAAUGAACACAUCUCCCCCAGCAACUGAGCAAAGAUGAGUUGUCAUCCAACAGAGUGAUACAUCUGUGCAAUGAAGACAGUGUUAACAAUGGGCACUCCGAGUCCAAAGGAGGAGGCGUUUGUCCGAAUGUUCUGGCCACAGUGUGAAUGGCAAUAGGUCAUUUAACUUUGAUUCUCAGAGUUGGUUUUCAAGGAAAUAGACUUCACAUUGUGCAUGUUCAUCUUGCCUUGAGAUUGUCCACCUUGCUUUGGACUGGUUGCCCGAGUGUCAUACUGUCUUAUAUUUGACACAGCAGAAGUGUCCAGGUUCAAGAGAUAAAGGUUUCUCCACUUC